AGCUCCAAUAGCGUAUAUUAAAGUUGUUGCAGUUGAAAAGCUCGUAGUUGGAUUUUGGGCACGUUGACGGUGGGCCCACCUGGUUGGUGAGUGCUCGCCUCGCGUGCCUUUCCUUCGCAUUGCACUGCGUCGUCAUUGAUUUGGCGGCGCGCACGGUGCGUGCGAUCGUUUACUUUGAAAAAAUUAGAGUGUUCAACGCAGGCAAAGAUGUUAAGCCAUUGAAUAGUAUAGCAUGGGAUAAUAAAAAAGGACUUGUUUCUUAUUUUGUUGGUUUUCAAGAGAUAGGUAAUGAUUAAUAGAAUCAGUUGGGGAUAUUAGUAUUUACUUGUCAGAGGUGAAAUUCUUGGAUUUAGGAAAGACUAACUUCUGCGAAAGCAUUUAUCAAGGAUGUUUUCAUUA
rnacentral:rRNA from 1 species